rnacentral:tRNA from 1 species
GGGUAUUUGGUCGAGUCUGGUUUAUGGCACUCGUCUUGAAAACGAGAACUUCUGUUAGAAGUCGUGAGUUCAAAUCUCACAGUGCCCG